AUUGAACGCUGGCGGCAUGCCUUACACAUGCAAGUCGAACGGUGACGGGCCUUCGGGUGCCGACGAGUGGCGCACGGGUGAGUAAUACAUCGGAACGUGCCCGAUCGUGGGGGAUAACGAGGCGAAAGCUUUGCUAAUACCGCAUACGAUCUACGGAUGAAAGCAGGGGACCGCAAGGCCUUGCGCGGACGGAGCGGCCGAUGGCAGAUUAGGUAGUUGGUGGGAUAAAAGCUUACCAAGCCGACGAUCUGUAGCUGGUCUGAGAGGAUGAUCAGCCACACUGGGACUGAGACACGGCCCAGACUCCUACGGGAGGCAGCAGUGGGGAAUUUUGGACAAUGGGCGCAAGCCUGAUCCAGCCAUGCCGCGUGCAGGAUGAAGGCCUUCGGGUUGUAAACUGCUUUUGUACGGAACGAAAAGCCUUCUUUUAAUACAGGAGGGUCAUGACGGUACCGUAAGAAUAAGCACCGGCUAACUACGUG
rnacentral:rRNA from 1 species